rnacentral:lncRNA from 1 species
CAACUUAGCAAGACCCUGUCACAAAAUAAAAAAUAAAAAGAACUGGGGAUGUAGCUCAGUGUUAAAAUGCUUCUGGAUUCAAUCCCCAGAACUGCCCCAAACAAAAAAAUCCAUUAUGCAAAUAUUCUGGUCUGUUCAAUCCUGUUCCCAUCGAUGUAUGUUUGGGUCCUCUCCAGGGUUUUGCUGGCGAGAACAGUGCCCCUGUGCACGGUCAUGCUCGUGUAUUCUUGUGCUUAGAACACACCCUGGCCCCCCUGUGACAGUGUUUGAAGGUGGCUGGGUUCGGAGGAGGUCACGAGUGUGGGGUCCCCUGGUUACACGGGGGUCCUUCCAAGAAGAGGAGUGUUUUAGUCAGCUUUUUCACUGCUGUGACUAAAGGACCCAACCAGAACAACCGUACAGGAGGAAAAGCUGAUUUGGGGGCUCAAGGUUUCAGGGGCCUCAGUUCAUAGAAGGCUGCUCCAUCCCGCGGGGCUCAAGGUGGGGCUGAGCAUCAUGGUGGCAGAGUGUGGCAGAGGGAAGCAGCUCACAGAGAGGAAGCCGAGAGAGGGCUCCACUUGCCAGAUGCCAAUACCUACCCCACCCAUAGCCACGCUCCCUCCGGCCACACCCACUGCCUCCAGCCACCGCUCAGUG